AGAUGAAGACUCCUCUUCACCAGACACAGCAUCAGUCUCAGCAGAAGAGGACAUGCCCUCAGACACAGCUCCUGCAGCAGAUGAAGACUCCUCUUCACCAGACACAGCAUCAGUCUCAGCAGAAGAGGACAUGCCCUCAGGUACUGUCCCUGCCUCACUUGUGUCUGAAGUUAAACAUCAUCUGUGCCGCUCCUUCUCCCCGAUAACUGGACAUCCAUGUGCUGAAUAUGCCACCUGGCACACAGUCCCCAGCUGGACAGAAG